rnacentral:lncRNA from 1 species
CAAGGAGGCACUGGGGCUGGCCCCAGCCGGGGAAGACCUGCUGCGUAAGAGCCAGUGGGCUCGCUUCCCCAUGGUUUCUGAAGGAUGAAAACCGGGUUUCCUGCCCCGUCAUCUGGUCAGCAUACUUGGCUGUGCUGGCAGCCCUUGGCAACACCCAGAUGAGAUGCCAAGUGGAACCCCUGGGAGAUGACAGGACACCACCUCUGACCCCACAGAAACCCUGUCGGUGUGCACCAGUGCAUCCAGCUCUCAUGUCUCUGAGAUGACAUGGGUGUUUUGUGCAGACUGGGAUGACGGCAGCUUUGGGGCAGCAGAGGAGGCAUUUUUCAGAUGUUUUCAUCUUUGAAUGAACUUGGUGAUCUGGAUGUCUGCGGCAAGUCUCAGCUCUCUCUUUAUGAAUCAUCAUUAUUAUUAUGGUUCAGUUCAUGGUCUUCCCCAGGGCCUGGGUGCUGAUGCUUCCCCACUCCACACUCGAGCCUCAAGUAUAUGUGGACAGCCACAGUACACUGUGCAGCUGGUUUAGGACAAGUGUCUAUUCCAGUGGUCACUGUCCACUGGGGGAGGGCGUGCAGAGGGGUUUUCUUUGUUAAUGUUCUUGGGUUUCCAUGAUGCAACUGAGAAAUGGUGAUUGUGCAUUAUACCCAGUACCUCUGAGACUCCUUUCUGGCCCCCAGAUCCCUGGACACUGUUGAUCUAUUGGGUCCAGAAGCCUGGAGAAGGCCGGGUAACUGAAGCUGGUAGCCAGUUCAUGUUGAGAAGCAGAGGACUAGGUCUACACUGGCGCCCUCUGCAUUCAGGUCAAGGGCCAAAUGGGAAUGUGCAGAAGGCAAGGGGAAUCCACCCUCCUCACUGAAGCCUUUUAAGAAAAAAGCAUCCUGGAGAGAGGUAGUUUCUCUCUACAGAAGCAUUCCCAAGAAGGAAAGGAGCAAUGCUAGAAUGAGAAUACCACAGCUUUGCAACUCCUAACAAAUGGCGGAAUCUAGAGAAGAGGCAUCAAUGGCCACCAGCAUCACACCAAUACAGACAACCAGGCACGACGCGCCUCCUCGGGCACGAGCGCUCCCCGCUGACCAAGGAGUCUUGGCAAAGUUUUCGAACCUACACCUCAUGAAACCUCUAGAUCCAACCACCAAGUUAUAAAAAAGCAAAGAAACAUGUUUUAUGAUGCCAGGAGGAUAUAAUCAACAAAAUCCGGACUGCAUGAAACCCUAUAGGACAAAUGGCCCAGCUUCCUCAACAAAUGAAUUGCAAAGAAAUAAGAAAGAGAUGAAGGAGGAACCUAUGGUAUAAGAGACUCAUCAACCAACUGCAGUGCGUGGACUGAUUUGGAUCCAAAAUCAAAUAAACAAAUUUUCUUUCUUUCCUUUCUUCCUUUCUCUCUCCCUCUCCCCCUCCUUCCCUCCCUCCUUCCUUCUCUACCUUCCCUUCCUUCCUUUCUCUCUCUGUCUCUCUCCCUCUCUCUCUUUCUCUUUCUUUCCCUCCCUCCCUCUCUCUCUCUCUCUUUCUUUCCUUUCUUAAUUUCUUGACAUGGUCUCACUCUGUGCACUCUGUGGCCCAGGCUGGAGUGUAGUGGCAUGAUCACAGUUCACUGCAGCCUAGAACUCCUGGGCUUAAGUGAUCCUCCCACCCCAGCCUCCCACCUUAGCUGGGAGCACAGGCAUAUGCCACCAAGCCUGGCUAAUUUUUGUAUUUUUUGUAGAGAUGGGGUUUUUGCCAUGUGCCCAGGUUGAUCUGGAACUUCUGAGCUCAAGUGGUCUGCCCACCUUAGCCUCCCAAAGUGCUGGGAUUACAGGUGUGAGCCACCGUACUUGGGCCCCCCUUUUUUAUAAGAGAUGAGGGUCCCACUAUAUUGUCCAGGCUGGUCUCAAACUCCUGGGCUCAAGCGAUCCUCCUGCCUCAGCUUCCCAAGUAGCUGGGACUACAGGAGUGUGCCACUGUGCCUGGUUUAAACAAAUGUUUAAGAAACUUGACAUUUAUGAUGUAACUGGAAUUGGAACACUGGUAAUUUGUUGAUAUUGCUAUCUUUUUAAAGGUACAAUAAUGUAUUGUGGCUGUGUUGUUAGUAAACAGCCCUUAUCUGUUAGAAGUCAUUGUGAAAUAUUCAUAGAUAAAAUGAUGUCUGGAAGUAUGUGGAGGGGGUAAGAGCUGAAACAAAGGUGGCCAUGGGUGGUGAUUAUUGCAUCUGAUUGCAUAGGGUUUCAUUAUACUUUUCUGUUAUUUUUUGUGUAUGCUUGACUUUUCUCAUAAUAACAUAAUGUUUUGAAAAGAGUAAGGCAGGGCCUUGGCUGCUGGGAUGGUUAGUUUGGGUGAUGGUGGUGGAAAAUGGAAUCGUAACGGGAGGGACUCCUCCUAACACAGCAGCAAUAAAACAACUGUCAAUGACUAACUGCCUAGGAGCCCAGCACUGUGCUAAGCCCCAUCACAGCACCCCUAUGGGACAGGUACUAUUGCUAUCCUCCCUUACAGAGGAGGAAACGGAGGUUCAGGGAGGUUUAGAAACCUGCCAAAG